AUCUCUUCUCUUUCUCGUUUUGGAUAACACGGUCAAACAUUCCGAAAGAUUUUGCACCGACCUCGUUUACCAAUCGUCGAACUAAUAAUUUAACAACUGUUACCUUCUGUCGAUACGAGAUCGUCGUCGGCUCGUCUUCGUUAAUUAUCGGAGAAGUUCGUACAUCGGAGCAAUCAAGCGGCGCAUCGCCGACUCGUUAGCGUUGAAAUUACGUUUCAGCUAGCUAGUCGACUGUCUUAACGACUCGAACUUUAACGAUCAAAGAGAAAGAAAAAGAUUUUGAAGUGAUCCGUGUGACCGUGUGGAAAAAUAUUAACUUGUAUUAUAUAGAAAAAUUUUAAGUAUCAAACUUUGUCAAUAUAUAAUAAGCAUAAAAUGUCGUAUACGUAAUUCUGCGAACGUUAACAAAAAUAUGGAAUUUGAAGGAAGAGUAGCAGGCGUGGUUACUGCGAUAAUAUAAUGGUGAAAUAUAGAUAAUUUCAAACGAACCCGAAUAGAUGAAACUGCAACCCCUGUCUGAAGUCUGUCGCUCGUUUAUCAUCCAUGUGAUCAUUCGUGGUGGAACGAAGCUGUUUUCAAAGAGAAGCAUGAUAUUGCGAUAAAAAAUUGCGCAGAAAAACGAUAAUGGAUGAUAAUUUUUUCUCUCUCUCUGUUUUCUCAUCUAUACUCUCGAGAUUGUUUAUCGAUCUUUCCGAAAUUAAAUUACUAAUAAAUAAUUAUUGCAUAAAAGAGAAGGCAGACGAGGAGGAAGACAUUUUUUUUCCAACUAUUUUUUCCUUUUCUAAGAUCUCGUGGCUUUUUCCUUUCGUUGGCCCUUGCUAUCUCGCGUGAAAAGGGAAAGCUGCUGCGAAGUAAACGAAACCCUUUCAUUCCAGAUAUCUUUAAUCGUGCCGACAUAAAGAAUGUCUACGACACUGAAAGUCGUAGAGAGGUCACCGCCUAGGUCAUUCAGCAAGCUAGACAAUACUUUCUUUUAUCAAGACCAAAUAGAUAUCUACUUUGCACGUGCAUUUAUUCGCGAAUUCCUUUUCUUUUUUUUUUUGUUACAUUGUUGUUUAAGAGUUUAAAUAUGAAAAAUUUAGAAUAAAAAAAUAGAAUAAAAUCAAA